rnacentral:lncRNA from 1 species
AUGUCUGUAGAUGUAAUAUCACUGUAUACCAAUAUUCCGUUAGAGGAGGCACGAUAUAUAUGUGAAUCAACCUUGAACAGGAGGCCUAAUCACCACCCUCCCACCUUUUUUUUGUUGGAUCUUCUUGAUAUUAUUCUUGAAAAAAAUUACUUCAAAUUGGAUGAAAAAUACUAUUUCCAAAUACAAGGUGUAGCCAUGGGCAGUCCUGUCGCGCCAGCGAUAGCCAAUUUAUUCAUGGAUAAUUUGGAGAAUGAAACUAUCUUGAAUCACACAAAGAACCCUGUAGCGGACGGCAUUAUCAAAUAUUGUAGAUUUAUUGAUGAUAUCUUUAUCAUUGUUAAUUCACAUCAGGAGGCAGUAACGUUAUUAUCCUGGAUCAAUACAAUUCACCUCAAAAUUAAAUUUACAGGAAACAUCAGUUCUACAUCCUUGAUUUUUCUAGAUGUCGUGGUUACAAAGGAAAAUGAUCGAUUGAAAGUGAGUAACCACCGAAAAACCACUGAUAGAAACUCCUUGUUACAUUACAACAGUUACCAUCAUUGGGCAUUAAAAAAUAAUUUACCCUUUACACAGAUGCUCAGGAUUAAACGCAACUCCUCUACCCUACAGGACUUCAAUCAGGAAAUGGAAGAGACAAAAAGCAGGUUCAGAAAUCGAGGUUACCCAGAGUCCAUAAUACAAUCAGCCUACUCGAAGGUUGCCAGUAUUCCUAGAUCUAAACUCCUAGAGGACAAAAUUAGACCAGGAGUAGACAGAUUGAUAUGGCCACUCACACUUACAAGUUUGUCCAAUCUAGCCAUCAAAACUGUUAAAAAGUACUGGAACUUAAUAAGAGACAUCCCUGGAUGUGAUAGACCCCCUUUGGUAGCAUAUAAAAGAACAAGGAAUAUUGGGGAUAUAUUGGUACAUUCAAACAUAACCAAUAGGCCCCGGACUGUAAAAUCUAAUCUGGUGGGCAACUAUCGCUGCCAUCAUUGUUCAGUAUGCAGCCAAUUGAUAGAGACCAAAAUCUUGACACACCAACAUCUAUCAUUCGAAUUUAAAUUUCCCCAUUUUGCCACCUGUACAACCAAAGGGGUUAUUUACAUGAUAAUUUGUGAUUGUAAUUUAUCAUAUGUGGGGCAGACUCGUCGAGAAGUUAAGAGCAGAAUUAUAGAGCACAGGAGCAAAAUACGAAAUCAUGUCAGAGAAUCCAUACUGUACAAACAUUUCUGUGAUCUACAGCAUAGUCCUGAAUCAUUCAAAUACCACAUACUAGAAGUAGUAUCACAAUCCAAACAUAUGGACUUCAAUAAUAAACUUUUGCAAAGGGAAACAUAUUGGAUUUUCAGAUUACGGACAGAACAUCCACAGGGCUUAAAUGAACAAAAUUCAUACAGUUGUUAUAUAUAG